GUGCUCGCGUCGGCAGCACAUGCACUAACAUUGGAAUGACACAGGGAAGAUUAGCAUGGUCCCUGAGCAAGGAUGACACGCAAAUUCGUGAAGCGUUCCAUUAAAAA